UCUAGGGACCUUAUGCCACACAGAACACUGCAAACCGACGCGCGCAACGCGCGUAUUCUUAGAAGUGUGGCAGCUUGGGCUAGUUGCCUCCAAGGAACUGCUCAUAUCAGUGUACGCUUGGAUACCUCACCACUCAGAACCUACCUCAAGUCAGCGGACAAUGUGUCAUCACUGAAAGCAAGCUCAUGAGCCAAAAUCCUCGCAAGAAAACUGGUCUAAACAGAGACAAUUGAUUUUCAAGCUACCCACAUCCAGUCGUAAGAAGCUCUACAGUUGCCAUACUGACAAUCUCAUGCACCAUCAAUAUGCCAGCCGGACAAAUGGAAGCCUUGUACUGAAAAACAG
rnacentral:lncRNA from 1 species